rnacentral:ncRNA from 1 species
GAGGGGGUACCUCCGGACGGAGGUUGAGAGUAUACCCAUUGAACCUGAUGCGGGUAAUGCCGCCGUAGGAAAGUUUUAUU